GUAAGUUGAGUGGCACCUAUGAGAGUGAAAUCGUUGAGGAGAACUCAUUCAGAAGAAAGAGCUCAAAAGUGGAAAUAUGAAUUUACACAGUUAAGAUUUGAUAAUAUGGGAGCAUAAUGUCCUAUGAAAGCACUAAAUUAGUGCUGUUGUAUUAGCUAGGGUUUCUUUCUCAUGGUUAGAAGUUAGAUGACUCGAGUAUUUAAUCAGAUGCAACCUUUCCUCAAUUAAGAAGCUACAUAAGAAAUUCCUUGGAUUAUAACACAUACUUGGAAGAUAUCUAAAUUAACUUGAUCACAAGUUACAAUAUUGGGCUGUUUCUCUCUACUCAAUCAGAGAGGUUCAUAGGACACCUCCCUUAUAAGGUCCUUUCCUUUAAUGGAAUUCUCAUACCAAAUGGAUAAUGG
rnacentral:misc_RNA from 1 species